UACAGAGGUCCCGAGCGUUGUUCGGAUUCACUGGGUGUAAAGGGUGCGUAGGUGGUGAGGUAAGUCGGAUGUGAAAUCUCCGAGCUCAACUCGGAAAUGGCAUUGGAAACUACCUUGCUCGAGGGUUGGAGGGGGGACUGGAAUACUUGGUGUAGCAGUGAAAUGCGUAGAUAUCAAGUGGAACACCAGUGGCGAAGGCGAGUCCCUGGACAACUCCUGACACUGAGGCACGAAAGCUAGGGGAGCAAACAGG
rnacentral:rRNA from 1 species